UGGUGAACUAUACUUGAUCAGGUUGAAGUCAGGGGAAACCCUGAUGGAAGACCGAAACAGUUCUGACGUGCAAAUCGAUUGUCAGAAUUGAGUAUAGGGGCGAAAGACCAAUCGAACCAUCUAGUAGCUGGUUCCCUCCGAAGUUUCCCUCAGGAUAGCUGGUGCAUUUAAAUAUUAUAUAAAAUAAUCUUAUCUGGUAAAGCGAAUGAUUAGAGGCCUUAGGGUCGAAACGACCUUAACCUAUUCUCAAACUUUAAAUGGGUAAGAACCUCACCUUACUUGAUAUGAAGGUUGUGGUUAUGAUAUAAUGUGCCCAGUGGGCCACUUUUGGUAAGCAGAACUGGCGCUGUGGGAUGAACCAAACGUAAUGUUACGGUGCCCAAAUUAACAACUCAUGCAGAUACCAUGAAAGGCGUUGGUUGCUUAAAACAGCAGGACGGUGGACAUGGAAGUCGUAAUCCGCUAAGGAGUGUGUAACAAC
rnacentral:rRNA from 1 species